rnacentral:rRNA from 1 species
GUCUACAGCCAUACCAACCUGAACGUGCCCAAUCUUGUCUGAUCUCAGAAGCUAAGCAGGAUGGGGCCUGGUUAGAACUUGGAUGGGAGACCAUCUGACACCAGGUGCCGUAUGUU